AAUACCACAUUCUUAGGAUGAGCAAUAUGGCUUCCAAAUUGAAGCAAAAAGAUUUGGGCAUCUCAGAUGACUUUCUGGUCCAUCUGGUUUUGUCCUCAUUGCCAAAGAACUUUGACAACCUUGUUGUCAACUACAAAAUAAGUACAGAGAAUUGGAAUAUUGAAGAGCUCAUCUCUAAUUGUGUGCAAGAGGAGGAAAGACACAAAGAGACCAAUGGUGACUCCAUUAACCUUGUCAAAGAUAACAAGGAAAAGAGCCACAGGUCACCCUCCUCAAAAGAAAAACAGCCUCAGCAUCUGCCUCAGAAACAACAGUUUACAGUUGAGACAAGAUCAGUGUCUACACUGCAAGAAGACAAGACAUUCCAAGAAAGAUCAUCUUGACUUCCUGACAGUGAUCAUGGCAAAGAAAGGGAUUCCGUUCAAUGAGGACUACGCAAAGAAGUGAAAGAUCCAUUAGAGUUGCCAAUGGAGUUGAAGCAAAAGUUGAGGCUGUUGGAGAUCUUCGCCUAGAACUCGCGAAUGGCUUCACACUUUUACUUCCAGACGUUUUUAUGUCCCUUCUUUGCAAAGAAACUUGAUAAUAAGUGUAUCCAAAUUGGAUUUUGAUAGAUAUGAUUGCCAUUUUGGAAAUGGCAAAUGUGAACUAUGGUAUAAUAAUGAAUGUAUUGGUCUUGUGUUGCAAGAUCAGCUUUAUUUCUUUC